UGGUAAAGCUACUAAGGGCGUACGGUGGAUGCCUUGGUACAUGGAGGCGAUGAAGGACGUGAUAAGCUGCGAUAAGCCUCGGGGAGGUGCAAACAACCUCAGAUCCGGGGAUUUCCGAAUGGGGCAACCUGUCUCGGGUUAUGCCGGGACACUCCCAGUUGAACACAUAGACUGGGUUGAGCUAACGGGGCGAAUUGACACAUCUAAGUAACCCUAGGAAAAGAAAACAAUCGUGAUUUCCUCAGUAGCGGCGAGCGAACAGGAAAGAGCCAAAACUUCGAUCAUGUUAAAGUCCGUAGACGUUGUGAUUGGAGUGUUGUGAGGCAGUUCCGGAGUCUGUUACGGAAGACUCGGGGAGUCAAAAAACCUGAUGUUAGUUGAACGGCAUGGAAAGGCCGGCCAUAGAAGGUGAUAGUCCUGUAAACAAAAACUGAUGGUCUCCCUGGGAACUGUUCUCGAGUAGCACGGUACACGUGAAAUUCCGUGUGAAGCUGCCAGGACCAUCUGGCAAGGCUAAAUACUCCCAUGUAACCGAUAGUGAACUAGUACCGUGAGGGAAAGGUGAAAAGUACUCCUAACGGAGAGUGAAAUAGAACCUGAAACCGUAUGCCUACAAGCAGUCGGAGUUCCGAUUUAUCGGGAUGACGGCGUGCCUUUUGCAUAAUGAGCCAGCGAGUUGCUCGUAUGUUGCAAGGUUAAUCCCUUUAUGGGAGGAGCCGCAGCGAAAGCGAGUCUUAAUAGGGCAAUUCAGUAACAUGCGGCAGACCCGAAGCCGAGUGAUCUAUCCAUGGCCAGGUUGAAGCGACAGUAACAUGUCGUGGAGGACCGAACCCACCAGGGUUGAAAACCUGGGGGAUGAGCUGUGGAUAGGGGUGAAAGGCCAAUCAAACUCGGCGAUUUCUGGUUCUCCCCGAAAUGCCUUUAGGGGCAGCGUCGUGGAAGUGCCUCGGGGGUAGAGCACUGGAUGGACUAGGGGCCCUACAAGGUUACCAAACCCAACCAAACUCCGAAUACCGAGGUUACGAUCCCCGGCAGUGAGGCCACGGGGGAUAAGCUUCGUGGCCGAGAGGGAAACAACCCAGACCAACAGCUAAGGUCCCAAAAUCUGAGUUAAGUGACUAAGGAUGUAAGAUUGCACAGACAGCUAGGAGGUUGGCUUAGAAGCAGCCAUCCUUUAAAGAAAGCGUAAUAGCUCACUAGUUAAGGAAUCUUGCGCCGAUAAUCUCCGGGACUUUUAAACUUAGUACCGAAGCUCUGGUCCCGGCACGUUUGUGUCGGGAGGUAGGGGAGCGUUCCAUCAACCUGUGAAGUCCUAGACGGGAGUCAGGAUGGAGGAAAUGGAAGUGAGUAUGCUGGCAUGAGUAGCGAUAAUUCCAGUGAAAUUCUGGGACACCAAAAGCCUAAGGUUUCCUGAGUAAAGUAACUCUGCUCAGGGUUAGUCGGUCCCUAAGCCGAGGCCGAAAGGCGUAGGCGAUGGAUAACAGGUGAAUAUUCCUGUACCACCCAAUCAUCGUUUGAACGAUGGGGGGACGCAGAAGUGAAAGAUCAGCCCGGUUUUGAUUGUCCGGGUUUAAGUGUGUAGGGAGUUCUGGCAGGCAAAUCCACCGGAACCAUCCUGAGACACGAAUAGGAGGGCCUAGCCCACAAACUGAUCCUAAUCAUGCUGCCAAGAAAAUCCUCUAAGUGAGAUUUUUGGGUGACCGUACCGUAAACGGACACACGUAGGCGAGAAGAGUAUUCUAAGGUGCUUGGGUUAAUCGUGGUAAAGGAACUCGGCAAAUUGGCCCCGUAACUUCGGGAGAAGGGGCGCCUCAAGUAGGUAAAGGCCCUCGCGGCCGGAGCCCAAAGAGGUCGCAGAAACCAGAGUUGAGCGACUGUUUACCAAAAACACAGGUCUCUGCUAAGUCGCAAGACGAAAUAUAGGGACUGACACCUGCCCGGUGCCGGAAGGUUAAGUAGAGGGGUUAUCUCGAUUCGUCGAGAGAAGCUCUGAAAUGAAGCCCCGGUGAACGGCGGCCGUAACUAUAACGGUCCUAAGG
rnacentral:rRNA from 1 species